rnacentral:tRNA from 1 species
GUUAGAGUGGCAGAGCCUGGUUAAUGCAUAAGAUCUAAGCCCUUUUAACAGAGGUUCAAACCCUCUCCCUAACU